GCCCGCCUAGCUCAAUCGGAUAGAGCGUCAGACUUUUACAAUCUGUACCGGGUAGUGAUCUGAAGGCUGCGAGUUCGACCCUCGCGGUGGGCU